GCGGAUGUAGCCAAGUGGGUCAAGGCAGUGGAUUGUGAA
rnacentral:tRNA from 1 species